UACGUAGGUGGCAAGCGUUGUCCGGAUUUACUGGGCGUAAAGGGCGUGCAGGCGGUCUGUUAAGUCUAGGGUGAAAGCUCCCGGCUCAACUGGGAGAGGUCCUUGGAUACUGGCGGACUUGAGGGAGGCAGAGAAAAGUGGAAUUCCCGGUGUAGUGGUGAUAUGCGUAGAUAUCGGGAGGAACACCAGUGGCGAAGGCGGCUUUCUGGGCCUUACCUGACGCUGAGACGCGAAAGCGUGGGGAGCGAACCGG
rnacentral:rRNA from 1 species